GCCGGAAUAGCUCAGUUGGUAGAGCAGCGCAUUCGUAAUGCGAAGGUCGUAGGUUCGAUUCCUAUUUCCGGCACCA
rnacentral:tRNA from 2 species